rnacentral:rRNA from 1 species
AUUGAACGCUGGCGGCAGGCCUAACACAUGCAAGUCGAGCGAGCGGCGGACGGGUGAGUAAUGUCUGGGAAACUGCCUGAUGGCGGGGGAUAACUACUGGAAACGGUAGCUAAUACCGCAUACCAUCAGAUGUGCCCAGAUGGGAUAAGCUAGUAGGUGGGGUAACGGCUCACCGAGGCGACGAGCCCUAGCUGGUCUGAGAGGAUGACCAGCAACACGGGAAUGGCGACACGGUCCAGACUCCGACGGGAGGCAGCAGUGGGGAAUAUUGCACAAUGGGUGCAAGCCGGAUGCAGCCAGGCCGCGUGUGUGAAGAAGGCCUUCGGGUUGUAAAGCACUGUCAGCGGGGAGGCGUUACCCGCAGAAGAAGCACCGGCUAACUCCGUGCCAGCAGCCGCGGUAAUAC